AUUUGAAAUCGCCGUCGCCUUCCGGUUGCACGGCGACUUGUAGUUUCGAGAGGCGCUUUCUCUGCGGCAUCGGACGCGUCCAAGUCGCUUGAAACGGCGCGUCGAGGAGGGUGAGAACCCCGUCUAUGGCGCGUUCGGCCGCUCACGAUGCGCCUUCCAAGAGUCGGGUUGUUUGGGAUUGCAGCCCAAAACGGGUGGUAAACUCCAUCUAAAGCUAAAUACGGGCGCGAGACCGAUAGCGAACAAGUACCGUGAGGGAAAGAUGAAAAGAACUUUGAAGAGAGAGUUAAAAAGUACGUGAAACCGUCCGAAGGGAAACGAAUGGAGUCAGCAAUGCGCCCUCGUGCUGAGAUUCAGCCGGCGGGAGGCCGAGGCGUCGGGUUGGACUGCCGCCGCUAGCGGAUCCGCAAGGACCGCGGCCCGGCGCGCUCGGAAGGAACUCUUCCCGCCGUCGCACUUCUCUUGGGCGCGCGUCAGCGUGGGUUGGCACCGGGCUUGAAAGCUGCCGGCAAGGUAGGACGCGGAGGCUGCCUCCGACCGUCCCUUGGCUGGACGGCGGCAUCGGGCUUUCCAAGGCCUCCGCACCGUUUACAGGCCGGCUCCAUCUUGGCCCCCGAACCCUUUUCCCGCCGGACUGGGGGGGCGGGGGCGAGUUUCUGUGGCCCGGGGCCGACCGUGGUGGAUGCAGCGCAUGCCUGGCUUGGCUAGGGCCCCGCUCUUUCGGUCGGCGUUCCGUCGCGGUGGGACUGCACGCAGUGCCUCGCGGACGGCGCCGGUCGUUUGGAUGGUGGGUGAAGCAGUGUCGCCCUUACGAUGCGCUUAGGAUGCUGGCGGUCAAAUGGCUCUAUCCGACCCGUCUUGAAACACGGACCAAGGAGUCUAACAUGUGCGCGAGUCUUUGGGUGGCGGAAACCCUGAGGCGCAAUGAAAGUGAGCGGGGGAGCGUGUGGCGAGAACCUCGAGUCGGGAUGACGACGAGGGGCGCAUCGUCGACCGACCUGUCCUACUCUUAGGAAGGUUUGAGUAAGA
rnacentral:rRNA from 1 species